GAAGACGACGAAGGAUGCAAAACAAGCCAGGCGCUGACAACAGCAAGUUGUGAGGAUGUGGUGCAUCGUGUUGUAUCUCCCUCUUCAAGUUCUCCUGUUGAGGAUCCAUCCAUCUCAUGGUGUACCUCUGCGUCCGUUUUCGAAGAACGUUCGAACAAUUGCCAUGGACUUGCGUCUGGAUACUCAAGCACUUCCUCUGACGACGGAUCUGACGAGGACAUCUCGAUCACAUCUUCAAGCCCAGAUUCGGGCUCCAGUACUACAGAUAAAAGACAGCAACUGAGCAACCCAUCGUAUGAGGGUGCUCGACUCACUCAAGGCACCAGCCUCCUCUUGAUUGUGGCACGCAUCCUCAGGUACCACGAUUCGAAGGAAGCUACUGAUAGCUUACUCAAGAUAAUCGAGGCACAUCUCCCUGAGAGUACCUACCUCCCAUCCACAAGAUACAUCUUCUUCAAGCACUUCACUGCUACUAAAGUGUUGUU